UGGGGAAUUUUGGACAAUGGGCGAAAGCCUGAUCCAGCAAUGCCGCGUGUGUGAAGAAGGCCUUCGGGUUGUAAAGCACUUUUGUCCGGAAAGAAAUCCUUGGCUCUAAUACAGUCGGGGGAUGACGGUACCGGAAGAAUAAGCACCGGCUAACUACGUGCCAGCAGCCGCGGUAAUACGUAGGGUGCAAGCGUUAAUCGGAAUUACUGGGCGUAAAGCGUGCGCAGGCGGUUUGCUAAGACCGAUGUGAAAUCCCCGGGCUCAACCUGGGAACUGCAUUGGUGACUGGCAGGCUAGAGUAUGGCAGAGGGGGGUAGAAUUCCACGUGUAGCAGUGAAAUGCGUAGAGAUGUGGAGGAAUACCGAUGGCGAAGGCAGCCCCCUGGGCCAAAUACUGACGCUCAUGCACGAAAAGCGUGGGGAGCAAACAGGAUUAGAUACCCUGGUAGUCCACGCCCUAAACGAUGUCAACUAGUUGUUGGGGAUUCAUUUCCUUAGUAACGUAGCUAACGCGUGAAGUUGACCGCCCGGGGAGUACGGUCGCAAGAUUAAAACUCAAAUGAAUUGACGGGGUCAUAGCUGUUUCCU
rnacentral:rRNA from 1 species